rnacentral:rRNA from 1 species
GAUGAACGCUAGCGGGAGGCUUAACACAUGCAAGUCGAGCGGUAAGGCAGCAAUGCCUGAGAGCGGCGCACGGGUGCGUAACGCGUAUGCAACCUGCCUUAUACAGGGGAAUAGCCCAUGGAAACGUGGAUUAAUGUCCCAUAGGAUUACGGAUUCGCAUGGAUUUGUGAUUAAAACUGAGGUGGUAUAAGAUGGGCAUGCGUCUGAUUAGGUAGUUGGUAGGGUAAUGGCCUACCAAGCCGACGAUCAGUAGGGGUUCUGAGAGGAUUACCCCCCACACUGGUACUGAGACACGGACCAGACUCCUACGGGAGGCAGCAGUGAGGAAUAUUGGUCAAUGGCCGGAAGGCUGAACCAGCCAUCCCGCGUGCAGGAUGACGGCCCUAUGGGUUGUAAACUGCUUUUGUACCUGAAGAAACCUGUUUACGAGUAGACAGUUGCCGGUAAGGUAUGAAUAAGCAUCGGCUAACUCCGUGCCAGCAGCCGCGGUAACAC